rnacentral:rRNA from 1 species
GAUGAACGCUAGCGAUAGGCUUAACACAUGCAAGUCGAGGGGCAGCACAAGGUAGCUUGCUAUCUGGGUGGCGACCGGCGCACGGGUGCGUAACGCGUAUGCAACUUGCUCUAUACAGGAGGAUAACCCGUCGAAAGACGGACUAAUACUGCGUAUGCUCACAACUUGGCAUCAAGUGGUGAGGAAAGAAAUUCGGUAUAGGAUAGGCAUGCGUCCCAUUAGCUUGUUGGUGAGGUAACGGCUCACCAAGGCAACGAUGGGUAGGGGAACUGAGAGGUUUAUCCCCCACACUGGUACUGAGACACGGACCAGACUCCGACGGGAGGCAGCAGUGAGGAAUAUUGGUCAAUGGGCGCGAGCCUGAACCAGCCAAGUCGCGUGAAGGAUGACUGUCUUAUGGAUUGUAAACUUCUUUUAUACGGGAAUAACAAGAGUCACGUGUGACUCCCUGCAUGUACCGUAUGAAUAAGCAUCGGCUAACUCCGUG